rnacentral:rRNA from 1 species
UUUGAAGGUAUAAUCGGUCUGGCCUGCUCACUGACAUAAGUUGUUUAAGAGCCGCGGUAAUUUGACCGUGCAAAGGUAGCAUAAUCAUUAGUUUUUUAAUUGAAAACUUGUAUGAAGGGUCGGACAAAGGAAAAGCUGUCUCUAUUAUAUAAAUUGAAUUUAACUUUUAAGUGAAAAGGCUUAAAUAAUUCAGGGGGACGAUAAGACCCUAUAAAGCUUUACAUAGUGAUUAUACUUGAUUGAAUUGUUAAAAUAAAUUUUUGGUCUGGUUACUAUGUUUUAUUGGGGCGAUAUAAGUAUAAUUUUUAUUAACUGCUUAGGUAAAAUACAAUAAUAGAUGGUAAAGUAGAUGAUCCUUUUUAAAGAUUAAAAGACUAAGUUACUUUAGGGAUAACAGCGUUAUUUUUUUUGAGAGUUCAUAUCGAAAAAAAAGUUUGCGACCUCGAUGUUGAAUUAAAAUGUCUAUAUAGUGCAGAUGCUAUAUAAGAGGGUCUGUUCGACCUUU